rnacentral:lncRNA from 10 species
AACGUUUUGAAAAUUUCAAUGAGAAGAAGUUUAUUGAAUUUUCCUGUAUCACAGUGGUCACUGUGGAGGGAAAGGUGUGGGAAAACACCUUUGAGCUAAGCUCAGGAGGAGCCGCUGACCUAGGCAACUCUGCUGAUCACUGUGAAGAUUACAAAACACCUCAACUGGAAGAAGUGUUGUUACAAUGAGGAUGGCUCAGCGCUGUCAAUGGAUAGACGUGAUAAGCAUGUUGAUAAGGCAUGUAGUGGAUAUUUCUCCUGCAUUUUGUUAAUUGUUCACAUAAUGCGUCUCUCUUAUCCAAAGAGAAGUCCGAUCUUUCAUAUAUUCAGACUCUCUUGAAACUAGGAUAUGGGUGUAUUACUUAUGUUUUCAAAUAUGAAAUUCUUCAUGAGAAUUAAAUUCAGAAAUGAUUAUUGUUGGGUGAUAUCCAUUAUCUUCUGGAAAGUUUGGUGGCAAAGAUUUUGGGCACUUUGAGGGUGGUCAACAUUGCAGCUUCUGGCAUCUUUCCUAAGUGUCUUAGAUGUUGACUGGCUCUGGCAAUGCUAUCCUCACUAAAGAAGCCUCUUUUAAUGUGGUUGUAUAUGUUACUUAGCAUUAAAGUUUUGUUUACAGAGUCGCAGACCCAGUGACCUCCCUAGUAGAAAUUCUCUUUUCCAGAUGUGUUUAGUCGAUGUGUUUCAGAAGAAUGGUUUUAUUUCUUACAGAUUCUUGAUGUGUCUAGAAUGCUGGAACCACCUCAAGGAAGGCAAUGUUUGAAGCAACAAAGUGAUCCUGGUCCUGAAUUCGGAGACCCACCUCUUGUUAAUAUUGCAUCUAUGUUACCAUCGGGUUAUUACAUAUUCCCAUCACAAGCUCUGAAAACAUGCAAAACCACUUGACAAAAAGGAUAAACAAGAGAAAAAGGGGGACUGAACCACAACCAGAUGUGCAAUACCACCUGCUAAGGGGAGUGGAGCGGAGUUUAAAGACGAAGUUAUUUUUCGUAAAACCUGGACAAGAAAUCAUGGAAACUUCAAAAAGUAUUAAAAACUUUUAUCAGAGAGAAGACAUACAAAACCUGAUUUCUAUUAUUAAACAUUUGGGGUGAUAUCUCAGGAUACAUGGGCCACAGGGUAUUAAAUGCUAUCGAAGACAAGAAAUGCUUAUUUGUGAUUAACGUCUUUAUAGAUUUGUUUCCAUGUUCAAAGAGCAUGUUCAUAUAUACGAUCACAUUUAAUCUAUACUUUAAUUCUGUCACGUGAGGAUUAUAUUAGUAUCCUCAUUUUAUUAUAACAGAUUUGAUACUCAGGUAGAUUAAUUAUCUUGUUGAAUAGAAUGAAAUUAGGUUAUAAUGAACAGUGAUUUGAAAGUAUAUCUCCUGACUUUAAAUCCAUCAUUAUUCCUUUCUGUGCAGUUUUAGCAAAAUUAUAUUAAAUUUCAUGAAAGCCUUGCAAAAAGUAAUAAUGACAUGCUGGAAUUUUUUAUGCAUUUUUAAAUAGGACUAACCUCUCACAACCUUACCGCAUACAAAAAUUUGCAUUUUCAAAGAAAACUAUUUUUGUUUCCUAUGAAUUGAUUGCCAAGUGAUCCAUAAAUUCCAAAAUAAAACGUGAAAUUAAAACACUCAAAGUGACUGCCUGGAAUUUACUUCAUUUCCCUCAUGGAAUUAGAGUGAAAGCACUUGGUAAUUUUGCUUGCUCCAAGGGCUUUAGGAAAAUUGACUUUCAGUGUUGAUGAAAUAAUAUUUGGAAUGACAAACAUUGGCAGGAAGACAAUUUACUCAGUUGAUAACACUGAGUAAGCCAUUUUCAUCUUGAGAUUUAGUCAGAAAUCUCUGAAAGGAUGCAAUUUACAAAAUAAGUGCUCCAUGACAUUGCAAAAUGACACUAACUUCUGAUGACUCUAAAUGCCAACAUUUUAGAUGAUGAUCCUUUUGGUUUAAAAAGUUACAAUAAAAUAGGAUGUCAAUUGUACAAUGGAUUAAAUUGAGAAAGGCUUAAUUUAAAAUUCUGAAUGAUAGUGAAAAAUAGUAAAAAACCUAGAAAAUUUCUCACUCUCAGAAAAAUGUACCAUAUGUUCCCUAAAAUAUAGAUGGAACCAACUACAUUAGCAAAGCAAUUAAAAUGGUGUCUUGUGGUGUUAAAAUUCAAGUUCACAUAUGGCAUU